UAUUGACAGAACUCUUCGGAGGGAAGAUGAUAAGUCUUAGUGGCGGACGGGUGAGUAAUGCAUGAGCAACUUGCCUUUCAGAGGGGGAUAACACAUCGAAAGGUGUGCUAAUACCGCAUGAAAUGACGGGAUCGCAUGAUCCUGUUAUCAAAGGAGCAAUCCGCUGAAAGAUGGGCUCAUGUCUGAUUAGAUAGUUGGUGAGGUAACGGCUCACCAAGUCGACGAUCAGUAGCCGGACUGAGAGGUUGAACGGCCACAUUGGAACUGAGAGACGGUCCAGACUCCUACGGGAGGCAGCAGUGGGGAAUAUUGGGCAAUGGGCGCAAGCCUGACCCAGCAACGCCGCGUGAAGGAAGAAGGUCUUCGGAUUGUAAACUUUUGUCUUAUGGGACGAUAAUGACGGUACCAUAGGAGGAAGUCACGACUAACUACGUGCCAGCAGUCGCGGUAAUACGUAGGUGGCAAGCGUUAUCCGGAAUUAUUGGGUGUAAAGGGUGCGUAGGCGGGAUGUAAAGUCAGAUGUGAAAUGCCGCAGCUUAACUGCGGAGCUGCAUUUGAAACUUAUGUUCUUGAGUGAAGUAGAGGCAAGCGGAAUUCCUAGUGUAGCGGUGGAAUGCGUAGAUAUUAGGAGGAACACCGGUGGCGAAGGCGGCUUGCUGGGCUUUUACUGACGCUGAGGCACGAAAGUGUGGGGAGCAAACAGGAUUAGAUACCCUGGUAGUCCACACCGUAAACGAUGAUUACUAGGUGUAGGUCGGCUGAACCGAUCUGUGCCGGAGUUAACACAAUAAGU
rnacentral:rRNA from 1 species